rnacentral:lncRNA from 1 species
CUAGUCCGGGCCUUGGGGGAGUCCCCGGAGUCCCCGUGGCUUUCCAGCUCCAGGCUCGGGAGAGGGUGACCUUGGAGCCGGGAUUUCACUUCUACAGCGCUGUGGUGCCGGGGGGACAGGGAGAAGGGCUCCCUGGCCCCCAGUUCACGAGGAGAAGGGGCCUUGACCGGUCAGGACCACCACCCUACGACGCCGCUCAGCUCUGGGCGAUUCUCUCCUCCCUUGCUGAAGCAGGCAUUGAGAGCCUGCGUUCCUCCCGCUCUGUUUCCGUUUAGGUAAAAUGGAUAGAAUAAUAGUACUUACCUCAAAGGAUUGUUGAAGAGAAUCAACAAGAUGAUAUCCCUGAAGCACUGGGAAUAGUGUCUGGCACACAGCACUCUCCCAGGAGCACACCGCGGCGCUAGAGAAGACCAGGAAAAAGGACCUGAGCCAGCUUGCCGUCUUAACAAAAAUUUCAAACUUUGCAAAGCGGUAUACCUUCUUAUUCUCCAGUUCAGUAUUGCCAGUGAAGUCAUACUGAACGCAGACAAGGAAAAGAAAGAAAAAGAAACUCAAUGAGAUAUGUUGUCAUCUUCCCUGUUUUAUGGAUGAAGUUCUAAGUAGAGGUUCGGAGAAGGUCUUCCAAAUUAUGAAAAUUGGCAAUUGGGCGAUGUUCACAGUGUCCCGUCUACUGCCUGGGGCCCCUGUCAUGCAGCAGCUGCAGAUACCACGUCCUUGGGUUGGAGCCCCUUCUCUACUCACGUUGGACAUAGAAUCACUUUUCCAAUCAGAAGUAAUAUGAAACAAAAUUGGACUUUUUCAUCAACUGGAGAAAUUGAAACAUGUUUAUUUAAUUGUUAUGGCAUGCAAGAUAUUUUCUCAAGACUUCCAGUUAGAAGGGAAUCAGAAAUUUUGACCCUUUUUUGAAAUUCUUGAAAAAG